rnacentral:lncRNA from 1 species
GGGUCUAUUGAGUACCAACAUAUAAUCCCCAUUGGCGGGGCCCAUUGAAACAUAGUUAGGCUGAGAGCAUAAAUCCGAUCUGUAUCAAAAUACUUUUGUAUCAUAACAUAUCAUAAUUUUUACUGAAUAUAUGUAUAAUCAAUAAUCCAUAGUAUUUCAGAAUCACUUUUCGUUCAAAACAUAAUUUCAUAAAUCAUGCAUAAUUUUAAAGAAUAAUUACUUAACUUCAGAAUAAAUAUAAAAUAUCUUGAGAAGAUGAUUCAUUACUUUCCUUUCACGGAUCACUGAACGAACAGAUCGAUUAACAUUUAGGAGAUUCUUCAUUGCCUAUUAUUCAAAAUUAUAUUCUUGCAUUAAUUCUAAUUCAAAAUUAAAUCUAACAAAUCGCAGAUCAAAAUCCUACUUAAGAUCGGACUCUUCACUAAACUCGAUCAAAAUCAUCAAAAGAAAGUCUUUCACUAUGCUAAUCUUAGAAAAAUAACUUUGAGAAAGAGAAAUCCAUCAAGAGAAAGAAAUAAUCUAGAGAGAGAUAUUAGAGAAAGAAAGUCUAAUUCUAAAGAGAGAAGCAAGGGGU